rnacentral:rRNA from 1 species
UACGUAGGCAGCAAGCGUUGUUCGGAGUUACUGGGCGUAAAGGGUGUGUAGGCGGUUGUUUAAGUUUGGUGUGAAAUCUCCCGGCUCAACCGGGAGGGUGCGCCGAAUACUGAAUGACUAGAGUGUGGGAGAGGUGAGUGGAAUUCCUGGUGUAGCGGUGAAAUGCGUAGAUAUCAGGAGGAACACCGGUGGUGUAGACGGCUCACUGGACCAUAACUGACGCUGAGACACGAAAGCGUGGGUAGCAAACAGG